rnacentral:rRNA from 1 species
AGCCAGACUCCUACGGGAGGCAGCAGUGGGGAAUAUUGCACAAUGGGGGAAACCCUGAUGCAGCGACGCCGCGUGAGUGAAGAAGUAUUUCGGUAUGUAAAGCUCUCUCAGCAGGGAAGAAAAUGACGGUACCUGAUUAAGAAGCCCCGGCUAACUACGUGCCAGCAGCCGCGGUAAUACGUAGGGGGCAAGCGUUAUCCGGAUUUACUGGGUGUAAAGGGAGCGUAGACGGCAGGGCAAGUCUGAAGUGAAAGCCCGGGGCCCAACCCCGGGACUGCUUUGGAAACUGUGAAGCUGGAGUGCGGGAGGGGCAGGCGGAAUUCCUGGUGUAGCGGUGAAAUGCGUAGAUAUCAGGAGGAACACCGGCGGCGAAGGCGGCCUGCUGGACCGUAACUGACGUUGAGGCUCGAAAGCGUGGGGAGCAAACAGGAUUAGAUACCCGCGUACU